AAUGAACGUUGGCGGCAUGGAUUAGGCAUGCAAGUCGAGCGAGAAGUGUAGCAAUACACGGAAAGCGGCGGAAGGGAGAGUAAUACGUGGGAAUCUGCCCUUAGACCUGGGAUAGCAGCGGGAAACUGCUGGUAAUACCAGAUAAUGUCUAUGGACCAAAGGUGUGAUUCCGUCUAGGGAUGAGCCCACGUCCUAUUAGCUAGUUGGUAGGGUAAUGGCCUACCAAGGCGAUGAUGGGUGGCGGGUGUGAGAGCAUGACCCGCCUCACUGGGACUGAGACACUGCCCAGAGACCUACGGGUGGCUGCAGUCGAGAAUCUGCGGCAAUGGGCGCAAGCCUGACCGAGCGAUGCCGCGGGCGGGAUGAAGGCCUUCGGGUUGUAAACCGCUGUCGAGGGGGAGCAACUUCCAUAGAGUUAUCUUUAUGGAUUGAGUGAUCCCUGGAGGAAGGACGGGCUAAGUUCGUGCCAGCCGCCGCGGUAAAAC
rnacentral:rRNA from 1 species